CGAAAGCCUGACGGAGCAACGCCGCGUGAGGGAUGAAGGCCUCUGGGCUGUAAACCUCUUUUCUCAAGGAAGAAGAUCUGACGGUACUUGAGGAAUAAGCCACGGCUAAUUCCGUGCCAGCAGCCGCGGUAAUACGGGAGUGGCAAGCGUUAUCCGGAAUUAUUGGGCGUAAAGCGUCCGCAGGCGGCCUUGUAAGUCUGUCGUUAAAGCAUGGAGCUUAACUCCAUUUGAGCGAUGGAAACUACAAUGCUUGAGUGUGGUAGGGGCAGAGGGAAUUCCCGGUGUAGCGGUGAAAUGCGUAGAUAUCGGGAAGAACACCAGUGGCGAAGGCGCUCUGCUGGGCCAUAACUGACGCUCAUGGACGAAAGCCAGGGGAGCG
rnacentral:rRNA from 1 species